rnacentral:rRNA from 1 species
UACGAAGGGGGCUAGCGUUGCUCGGAAUCACUGGGCGUAAAGGGUGCGUAGGCGGGUCUUUAAGUCAGGGGUGAAAUCCUGGAGCUCAACUCCAGAACUGCCUUUGAUACUGGGGAUCUCGAGUCCGGAAGAGGUGAGUGGAACUCCGAGUGUAGAGGUGAAAAUUCGUAGAUAUUCGGAAGAACACCAGUGGCGAAGGCGGCUCACUGGUCCGGUACUGACGCUGAGGUGCGAAAGCGUGGGGAGCAAACAGG